rnacentral:rRNA from 1 species
CUGGCGGCGUGCCAAAUACAUGCAAGUCGAGCGAACGGACGAGAAGCUUGCUUCUCUGAUGUUAGCGGCGGACGGGUGAGUAACACGUGGAUAACCUACCUAUAAGACUGGGAUAACUUCGGGAAACCGGAGCUAAUACCAGAUAAUAUUUUGAACCGCAUGGUUCAAAAGUGAAAGACGGUCUUGCUGUCACUUAUAGAUGGAUCCGCGCUGCAUUAGCUAGUUGGAAAGGUAACGGCUUACCAAGGCAACGAUGCAUAGCCGACCUGAGAGGGUGAUCGGCCACACUGGAACUGAGACACGGUCCAGACUCCUACGGGAGGCAGCAGUAGGGAAUCUUCCGCAAUGGGCGAAAGCCUGACGGAGCAACGCCGCGUGAGUGAUGAAAGUCUUCGGAUCGUAAAACUCUGUUAUUAGGGAAGAACAUAUGUGUAAGUAACUGUGCACAUCUUGACGGUACCUAAUCAGAAAGCCACGGCUAACUACGUGCCAGCAGCCGCGGUAAUACGUAGGUGGCAAGCGUUAUCCGGAAUUAUUGGGCGUAAAGCGCGCGUAGGCGGUUUUUUAAGUCUGAUGUGAAAGCCCACGGCUCAACCGUGGAGGGUCAUUGGAAACUGGAAAACUUGAGUGCAGAAGAGGAAAGUGGAAUUCCAUGUGUAGCGGUGAAAUGCGCAGAGAUAUGGAGGAACACCAGUGGCGAAGGCGACUUUCUGGUCUGUAACUGACGCUGAUGUGCGAAAGCGU